rnacentral:lncRNA from 1 species
AGAGAAAACCCUGGAAAUAAAAAAACCCCAGGUAAGAGAUCAGGAGUCAUAGACACAAGCAUCACAAAGAGAAUACAAGAGAUAGAAGAGCGAAUCUCAGAGGCAGAAGAUACAAUAGAAAACAUCAACACAACUGUCAAAGAAAAUGCAAAGCACAAAAAGCUCCUAACACAAAACAUCCAGGAAAUGCAGUAUAAUGAGAAGAUCAAGCCUAAGAAUAAUAGGUAUAGAAAAGAGUGAAGACUCCCAACUUAAAGGGCCAGAAAAUAUUUUCAGCAAAAUUAAGGAAGAAAACUGCUCUAACCUAAAGAAAAAGAUGUCCAUAAACAUACAAGAAGCCUACAGAACUCUAAAUAGAUUGGACCAGAAAAAAAAAAUUCCUCCCGUCAUCUAAUAGUUGAAACACCAAACGCACAAAACAAAACAAAAAAAGAAAAA